CUAUGGUACUGCAGCAGUUACCACCUUUCUGUUCCUACUCAUACUAUUUGUUUUCCAGAAUGCGCCCCCCAUCCCGCCAAGCCCCGCCCAGGCUGCUCUCAAGUUGUCCCAGUCAGACGAGAGGUCGUACCUCCGCUCUAUCCGUACACUGUUGUCCAACGGGUCAUUUCUGCUGCUGGUGAUCACCUAUGGAAUCAAUGCUGGAUGUUUUUAUAGCCUGUCAACAUUACUGAAUCAGAUCAUCCUGCACUACUUCCCAG